CAGCAGCCGCGGUAAUACGGAGGGUGCAAGCGUUAAUCGGAAUUACUGGGCGUAAAGCGUACGCAGGCGGUUUGUUAAGUCAGAUGUGAAAUCCCCGAGCUUAACUUGGGAACUGCAUUUGAAACUGGCAAGCUAGAGUCUUGUAGAGGGGGGUGGAAUUCCGCGUGUAGCAGUGAAAUGCGUAGAUAUGCGGAGGAACACCGAUGGCGAAGGCAGCCCCCUGGGCCAACACUGACGCUCAUGCACGAAAGCGCGGGGAGCAAACAGGAUUAGAUACCCGCGUAGUCCCUGUCUCUUAUAC
rnacentral:rRNA from 1 species